rnacentral:rRNA from 1 species
AACUAACGCUGGCGGCGUGCCUAACACAUGCAAGUCGUACGAGAAAGUUGGCUUCGGCCGAUGAGUACAGUGGCGCACGGGUGAGUAACGCGUGGAUAAUCUGCCCUUAAGUGUGGAAUAACGUACCGAAAGGUGCGCUAAUACCGCAUAAUGCCUGGCAACAUAAGUUGUCCGGCCAAAGAAGGCCUCUGCUUGCAAGCUUUCGCUAAAGGAUGAGUCCGCGUACCAUUAGCUAGUUGGUGGGGUAACGGCCUACCAAGGCGACGAUGGUUAGCUGGUCUGAGAGGAUGAUCAGCCACACUGGAACUGAGACACGGUCCAGACUCCUACGGGAGGCAGCAGUGAGGAAUAUUGCGCAAUGGGGGCAACCCUGACGCAGCAACGCCGCGUGAAGGAUGAAGGUUUUCGGAUUGUAAACUUCUUUGAUGAGGGACGAUAAUGACGGUACCUCAAAAACAAGCCACGGCUAACUACGUGCCAGCAGCCGCGGUAAACU